CGCGAAGGCAAGCGGAUCUCUUAAAGCUGUUCUCAGUUCGGACUGCAGUCUGCAACUCGACUGCACGAAGCUGGAAUCGCUAGUAAUCGCGGAUCAGCACGCCGCGGUGAAUACGUUCCCGGGCCUUGUACACACCGCCCGUCACACCAUGGAAGUCUGCAAUGCCCGAAGCCGGUGGCCUAACCACCUAUGUGGAAGGAGCCGUCUAAGGCAGGGCAGAUGACUGGGGUGAAGUCGUAACAAGGUACC
rnacentral:rRNA from 1 species